UCUCACUAAUAAAGACUGUAUC
rnacentral:siRNA from 1 species